rnacentral:lncRNA from 1 species
CUUUGAGAGUUCGUUAAACGGAUGCCAAAGUACUAUACUUUGUGAUUUCGGUAAACAGAAUCCAAAGUGUUACACUUUGUGAAAUUCGUUAAGGUUCGAAUCUCGUGACUACCGUUAAGGUUUGAUUUGGGUUUUACACAAAUACGUAUUCCAUUCUGUUAAACUAUAUGUUUAACUACCAAAAAUACUCCCAACUACACACUCACAAUCAAACAAACUAUUAAAUCAUCAGAAGAUCCAGAAUAAUAAAGUGCAUGCUUAAUUAUCGGAAGAAGUAGAAUCAAGAAGCUUGUUAACUCAAUCUUGCAUGCUUAUAUAUAGAUUGGAGUAAGAAUUGGAUCCGGCACUGAAGGACUUCAAGAAGUGGCUUAUUUUAUUAAUUA